ensembl:snoRNA
GCUAUAAUGUGUGCAUGGUUUUCAUCUGUGUCUGAUAGCAGUGUCUGUCUGUGUUCUGCAUUCAGGUCUCGCUAUCCACACAAACACGCAGCCAAAGAGUAAGUUGGGAUCAUAGUACUGGUCUAGUGUUGUCUCUUUGGACAUGUCCACCACUGGCCAGCCUCCAGACUCCCACACACAG